rnacentral:rRNA from 1 species
UACGAAGGGUGCUAGCGUUGUUCGGAAUCACUGGGCGUAAAGAGCGCGCAGGCGGUCGUUCAAGUCGCGUGUGAAAGCCCCCGGCUCAACUGGGGAGGGUCACGCGAUACUGAUCGACUCGAAGGCAGGAGAGGGUAGUGGAAUUCCCGGUGUAGUGGUGAAAUGCGUAGAUAUCGGGAGGAACACCAGUGGCGAAGGCGACUACCUGGCCUGUUCUUGACGCUGAGGCGCGAAAGCUAGGGGAGCAAACGGG